AGUCUGCGUAUAAAUAAGACGACUUUACACUUUCUAAUUGCGUGUAAUGCAUACGCCAAAUGCCAAUUUUGCGUGCAUAUGAUACGCCAAUCCUUCACAUUAACUUCAGUGGAGAGCAGAUGCGUCCAAAUACCACGUGUCAUCUUCAGCGACAGUGACGUCACCAGCGAGGCUCAGUUCGUCCAGUUCACCUGAUGCGUGUACACCUUCAAACAGAAUUAACAGGGAACUUCAACUCGACGCUCCCAAUGCUGAUCUUGAAGAAGCUGUCAAGGAGGCUGAAGAAGUCCUUCAAAGCUGAAAGGGAAGACCAAAGGAAGGCCUGUCAUGGGAUUUGAAUUUGACCAUCUUGUGCGUUUAUGGAGAAGACCAAAAGCUGCAAAGGCAAACACUUCCAAUGGAUUUCUCACAGAUUACUUAGUCCUUCUCCAUCAGCUCUGCACAAUAUCAGCCCGUCCAAAAGUUUCCACAUCUCUCUCUCUCAUGUGGCACAUCUGCUCUCAGUCCUUUACUGCCAACUUCCAGUCUUAGCAUGUCUACUUGUAUUAAUUUCUCCUCUACAGUCAUCACUCCCAUCUCUACUAUAAGCACUCCUGUCACUAU